rnacentral:lncRNA from 10 species
GAGAGAGAGAGACUUAUUUUAAAUAAUUGGUUCCUGUGACUAUGUGGGGUGGCAAAUAUAAAAUCUGCAGACCAGGUUAGAACGAUGGAGACAUAGGAGAGAAUUGAUGUGUUGUGAGUUCAAAGGCAAUCUGGAGGCAGAAUUUCUUCUUUCAUAGGGGACUGAAGGCUUUCUCCCCCAAUACCCUCAGUUUAAGGAUGAAGAUGAGACCCACCCACAUUAUGGAGAGUAAUCUGCUUUACUCAAACUUUACUGACUUAAAUGUUAAUCACAUCUAAAAAAUUCCUUCACAGCAACAUCUAAACUGGUAUUUGACCAAACAUCUGGGCAUCAUAGCCUAGCCAAGUUGAAACAAAAAAUUCCAUCGCAAAGAUGCUGAUGCUGUAUGAGAGGUUAGGAGAUUUAAACUCCACUCUAAUGGAAAUGACCCAUGGAGAUAGGUGCUGAAGUUUUUGGUCUCAAUAGCUGUCUCUAGGCUAAAAUGUCUUAGCUCUACGUUGCCGUUCUUUGAGAUACUAGUGUCUUGUGUUUAUAGAUUAAAUAGCUUGGCUGUAUAAGUACUGACCAAAAACGUAUUAGCUUUUCCAUAGACUCUGAAUAUAAAAUACAUUUAGCGACUGCUUCAGUGUUCACAUAGAAGUAAAGUUAUUUUUAAAUUAACCUUUGUAUGUUUUUCCAGCCUUAAUGUCUUUAUAUGAGUUCAAGAUGAUGAACAGUCUUGGUAUAACGUGAAAUCAUUUGUGAAUUUGGAUAAGAGCAGUAUAUGCCUAUUCAAAAAUAUUAUUCUAGGUAUCUAUUAUAUAACAUGGUUACAGUAUAAAGCUUUUUGUUGUUACUCUAUACAGCUAAAACUCAUGAAAUACUCAAUUACAGUUGUUAGUUAAAUCAACAAAAGCACUCUAGAAACACUGCCAAUUAGCUUGCUCAGAUAAGUUUUAAUUUGCAUGUAAAGGAUGUUAGUUAAAUGUCAAUUGCUUCCUCAAGAUGAAUUAUUGCUAUUUCUCUGUAGUUAACUCGAAAACAUGUUGCAAGAAUUUUGAGAGAAUUUUGUUUAGACAGUAAGUCAACUGCAUCUAUUCAACCUCUUUUUUUUAGAUUUAGCAAAGUGAGCCAAUAAUUGUGUCUUUUAUUAAAUUUUAAUCAAAUAUUUAAUUGCAAUUUUAUGUUAUUGUGAAAACAUAUGGCAUAUGAUCUAGUAUUCAGAUUAGUAUUAAUAACUACAUUUUUGUUGCUGAUUUUCAAAUAUUUGUUACAUGUAGAAAAAAAUGGGAUUUCUGUCUGCCUAAUGACAUUUUUUGAGUUAGUAAACAUUUUAUUAGAAACAAAUACUGAAAAUUUCCAUAGUACAAGGAGGGUAAAAUGUUCAUUGUCUUCUUGAAAGGUCUAGACAGAAAUCCUAAGACUACAGAUUAAUAUCAUACAAUUGAAGAUGUUUAAAACUAUGUGAUCUCUAGCAUUGUUCUGUGUUUUGAAUAUAAUUAUCCUGUGUACAUUGAUCUUGCAAGCUGAAAUAGUAAUAAUAUUAGAAAAGCCAAUCAAUAAUUAUAUUAAAAUCUGAGAUUUGCUAAGAUGAAGAUGUAAAGUUCUCUGGUCUGUUAUAAUUGUAAAUCACUCUUUAUACAUUUUUAUUAUACUUAUACCCACCUCUGUUACAGAAACCACAUUUUUUUUCCCUUCAACCCCUUGGCUUGUGGUUAAUUGGUGCUUGAUUGUUUAUUUAUUUAUUUAUUUUGAGAUGGAGUCUCGCUCUGUUGCCCAGGCUGGAGUGCAGUGGCGCGAUCUCGGCUAACUGCAAGCUCCGCCUUACGGGUUCAUGCCAUUCUCCUGCCUCAGCCUCCCGAGUAGCUGGGACUACAGGGGCCCGCCACCAUGUCUGGCUAAUUUUUUGUAUUUUUAGUAGAAAUGGGGUUUCACCGUGUUACCUAGGAUGAUCUCAAUCUCCUGACCUCGUGAUCCGCCCACCUUGGCCUCCCAAAGUGCUAGGAUUACAGGCGUGAGCCACUGCACCCGGCCUGGUGCUUGAUCUUUAUAGCUGAAAAGAAUAGUGAAAUAUUUUUCUCUUCCACAAAAAUACUUCUGAAUAUUGCUUUCAAAAACAAACUUUCACAAAACUAGUUUUUGCCUCCUACCGUUGUUAAUUGAUUCAACAAGUACUUAUUGAACACAAAUGAGGUCAAAAUCUAUUAUGGCAUCUAUUAAAAACUGUUAUUGGCUAAUAUCCACAGG